rnacentral:rRNA from 1 species
UUAAGCGACUAAGCGUACACGGUGGAUGCCCUGGCAGUCAGAGGCGAUGAAGGACGUGCUAAUCUGCGAAAAGCGUCGGUAAGGUGAUAUGAACCGUUAUAGCCGGCGAUGUCCGAAUGGGGAAACCCAGUGCAAUUCGUUGCACUAUCGUUAACUGAAUACAUAGGUUAACGAGGCGAACCGGGGGAACUGAAACAUCUAAGUACCCCGAGGAAAAGAAAUCAACCGAGAUUCCCCCAGUAGCGGCGAGCGAACGGGGAGCAGCCCAGAGUCUGAAUCAGCUUGUGUGUUAGUGGAACGGUCUGGAAAGUCCGACGGUACAGGGUGAUAGUCCCGUACACCAAAAUGCACAGGUUGUGAACUCGAAGAGUAGGGCGGGACACGUGGUAUCCUGUCUGAAUAUGGGGGGACCAUCCUCCAAGGCUAAAUACUCCUGACUGACCGAUAGUGAACCAGUACCGUGAGGGAAAGGCGAAAAGAACCCCGGCGAGGGGAGUGAAAAAGAACCUGAAACCGUGUACGUACAAGCAGUGGGAGCACCUUCGGGUGUGACUGCGUACCUUUUGUAUAAUGGGUCAGCGACUUAUAUUCUGUAGCAAGGUUAACCGUAUAGGGGAGCCGCAGGGAAACCGAGUCUUAACUGGGCGUUAAGUUGCAGGGUAUAGACCCGAAACCCGGUGAUCUAGCCAUGGGCAGGUUGAAGGUUGGGUAACACUAACUGGAGGACCGAACCGACUAAUGUUGAAAAAUUAGCGGAUGACUUGUGGCUGGGGGUGAAAGGCCAAUCAAACCGGGAGAUAGCUGGUUCUCCCCGAAAGCUAUUUAGGUAGCGCCUCGUGAAUUCAUCUUCGGGGGUAGAGCACUGUUUCGGCUAGGGGGUCAUCCCGACUUACCAACCCGAUGCAAACUACGAAUACCGAAGAAUGUUAUCACGGGAGACACACGGCGGGUGCUAACGUCCGUCGUGAAGAGGGAAACAACCCAGACCGCCAGCUAAGGUCCCAAAGUCAUGGUUAAGUGGGAAACGAUGUGGGAAGGCACAGACAGCCAGGAUGUUGGCUUAGAAGCAGCCAUCAUUUAAAGAAAGCGUAAUAGCUCACUGGUCGAGUCGGCCUGCGCGGAAGAUGUAACGGGGCUAAACCAUGCACCGAAGCUGCGGCAGCGACACUAUGUGUUGUUGGGUAGGGGAGCGUUCUGUAAGCCUGCGAAGGUGUGCUGUGAGGCAUGCUGGAGGUAUCAGAAGUGCGAAUGCUGACAUAAGUAACGAUAAAGCGGGUGAAAAGCCCGCUCGCCGGAAGACCAAGGGUUCCUGUCCAACGUUAAUCGGGGCAGGGUGAGUCGACCCCUAAGGCGAGGCCGAAAGGCGUAGUCGAUGGGAAACAGGUUAAUAUUCCUGUACUUGGUGUUACUGCGAAGGGGGGACGGAGAAGGCUAUGUUAGCCGGGCGACGGUUGUCCCGGUUUAAGCAUGUAGGCUGGUUGUCCAGGCAAAUCCGGAUAAUCAAGGCUGAGGUGUGAUGACGAGGCACUACGGUGCUGAAGUAACAAAUGCCCUGCUUCCAGGAAAAGCCUCUAAGCAUCAGGUAACAUUAAAUCGUACCCCAAACCGACACAGGUGGUCAGGUAGAGAAUACCAAGGCGCUUGAGAGAACUCGGGUGAAGGAACUAGGCAAAAUGGUGCCGUAACUUCGGGAGAAGGCACGCUGGUGUGUAGGUGAAGUCCCUGCGGAUGGAGCUGAGACCAGUCGAAGAUACCAGCUGGCUGCAACUGUUUAUUAAAAACACAGCACUGUGCAAACACGAAAGUGGACGUAUACGGUGUGACGCCUGCCCGGUGCCGGAAGGUUAAUUGAUGGGGUUAUCCGUAAGGAGAAGCUCUUGAUCGAAGCCCCGGUAAACGGCGGCCGUAACUAUAACGGUCCUAAGGUAGCGAAAUUCCUUGUCGGGUAAGUUCCGACCUGCACGAAUGGCGUAAUGAUGGCCAGGCUGUCUCCACCCGAGACUCAGUGAAAUUGAACUCGCUGUGAAGAUGCAGUGUACCCGCGGCAAGACGGAAAGACCCCGUGAACCUUUACUAUAGCUUGACACUGAACAUUGAGCCUUGAUGUGUAGGAUAGGUGGGAGGCUUUGAAGCGUGGACGCCAGUCUGCGUGGAGCCAACCUUGAAAUACCACCCUUUAAUGUUUGAUGUUCUAACGUUGGCCCCUUACCGGGGUUGCGGACAGUGUCUGGUGGGUAGUUUGACUGGGGCGGUCUCCUCCCAAAGCGUAACGGAGGAGCACGAAGGUUAGCUAAUCCUGGUCGGACAUCAGGAGGUUAGUGCAAUGGCAUAAGCUAGCUUGACUGCGAGCGUGACGGCGCGAGCAGGUGCGAAAGCAGGUCAUAGUGAUCCGGUGGUUCUGAAUGGAAGGGCCAUCGCUCAACGGAUAAAAGGUACUCCGGGGAUAACAGGCUGAUACCGCCCAAGAGUUCAUAUCGACGGCGGUGUUUGGCACCUCGAUGUCGGCUCAUCACAUCCUGGGGCUGAAGUAGGUCCCAAGGGUAUGGCUGUUCGCCAUUUAAAGUGGUACGCGAGCUGGGUUUAGAACGUCGUGAGACAGUUCGGUCCCUAUCUGCCGUGGGCGCUGGAGAAUUGAGGGGGGCUGCUCCUAGUACGAGAGGACCGGAGUGGACGCAUCACUGGUGUUCGGGUUGUCAUGCCAAUGGCACUGCCCGGUAGCUAAAUGCGGAAGAGAUAAGUGCUGAAAGCAUCUAAGCACGAAACUUGCCCCGAGAUGAGUUCUCCCUGAGACUUUAAGUCUCCUGAAGGAACGUUGAAGACGACGACGUUGAUAGGCCGGGUGUGUAAGCGCAGCGAUGCGUUGAGCUAACCGGUACUAAUGAACCGUGAGGCUUAACCU